rnacentral:rRNA from 1 species
GAUGAACGCUGGCGGCGUGCUUAACACAUGCAAGUCGAACGAUGAAGCCCAGCUUGCUGGGUGGAUUAGUGGCGAACGGGUGAGUAACACGUGAGUAACCUGCCCUUGACUCUGGGAUAAGCCGGGAAACUGGGUCUAAUACCGGAUAGGAGCGCCUGUCGCAUGACGGGUGUUGGAAAGAUUUUUCGGUCAUGGAUGGACUCGCGGCCUAUCAGCUUGUUGGUGAGGUAAUGGCUCACCAAGGCGACGACGGGUAGCCGGCCUGAGAGGGUGACCGGCCACACUGGGACUGAGACACGGCCCAGACUCCUACGGGAGGCAGCAGUGGGGAAUAUUGCACAAUGGGCGGAAGCCUGAUGCAGCGACGCCGCGUGAGGGAUGACGGCCUUCGGGUUGUAAACCUCUUUCAGUAGGGAAGAAGCGAAAGUGACGGUACCUGCAGAAGAAGCACCGGCUAACUACGUG